UUAAGCUACUAAGAGCAUAGGGAGAAUGCCUAGGUACCAAAAGCCGAAGAAAGACGUGAUAAGCUGCGAAAAGCCACGGGGAGAAGCAAAUAUUCAAUAAUCCGUGGAUGUCUGAAUGAGGAAACUCUAACCAAGAAAAAAGUUGGUUAAUCCAUACAUGAGUAAAGUAGUGUAUAGGAGGGGAACGUGGGGAACUGAAACAUCUAAGUACCCACAGGAAAAGAAAGAAAACUCGAUUCCUAAAGUAGUGGCGAGCGAAAUAGGAAGAGCCCAAACCAGAAGAAGAAAUUCAUCUGGGGUUCGGACUACAUAAUUGAUUCAAUGAGUUUAGUAAAAUUGUUUGGGAAAGCAAACCAAAGACGGUGAAAGUCCAGUAUACGAAAAACAAGUUGACAAGGUAGAAUCCAGAGUAGUGCGAGACACGUGAAAUCUCGUAUGAAAGAGCGGGGACCACCCCGUAAGGCUAAAUACUAAUUGGUAACCGAUAGUGAAGAAGUACCGUGAGGGAAAGUUGAAAAGAACCCCGGGAGGGGAGUGAAAUAGAACCUGAAACCCUAUGUUUACAAGCAGACAAAGCACGUUAAGGUGCGAUGUCGUACUUUUUGUAGAACGGUCCGGCGAGUUAUUUUAUAUGGCAAGGUUAAGUACUAAAGGUACGGAGCCGAAGAGAAAUCGAGUCUGAAGAGGGCGAAUAAGUCAUAUGAAAUAGACCCGAAACCGAGUGACCUAUCCAUGUCCAGGCUGAAGCUUGAGUAAAAUCAAGUGGAGGGCCGAACUCAUAGACGUUAAAAAGUCUCGGGAUGAGGUGUGGAUAGCGGAGAAAUUCCAAUCGAACUCGGAGAUAGCUGGUUCUCCUCGAAAUAGCUUUAGGGCUAGCCUCGAGCUGGAGUCUAACGGAGGUAAAGCACUGAACUGACGCGGGGCCCAAAAAGGUUACCAACUCAUAUCAAACUAAGAAUGCCGUCAAGAUACCCUCGGGAGUCAGUCUGCGUGAGAUAAGUCGCGUGGACAAAAGGGAAAGAGCCCAGACCGACAGCUAAGGUCCCAAAGUACGUGUUAAGUGGAAAAGGAUGUGGGAUUUCAUAGACAACUAGGAUGUUGGCUUAGAAGCAGCCAUACAUUUAAAGAGUGCGUAAUAGCUCACUAGUCGAGAAAACCUGCGCCGAAAAUGUAACGGGGCUAAAACACGACACCGAAGCUACGGAUUCCUUACAAAGUAAGGAGUGGUAGAGGAGCAUCCUGCAAGGACGAAGCCAAAGUGAGAGCGAUGGUGGACGAAACAGGAGAGAGAAUGCCGGAAUGAGUAGCGAGAUACAUGUGAGAAACAUGUAGGCCGAAUAUCUAAGGAUUCCUGGGUAAAGCUAAUCUUCCCAGGGUUAGUCGGGGCCUAAGGCGAGGACGAAAGUCGUAGUCGAUGGAUAACAGGUUGAUAUUCCUGUACUACACAUAAUCAGAACUGUGGGGACGCAGGAGGAUAGGGAAACCGGGGAAUGGAAAGACCCGGUCAAGCGUAAAGCUGUGGGAGAUAGGCAAAUCCGUCUCUUGUAAGUGAAACGUGAUGAGGACUGAAAAAAAGUAAGGAAGUUUCCGAAUCCACACUGCCGAGAAAAGCCGCUAUUGCGUUAUGUGUACCCGUACCGUAAACCGACACAGGUAGAUGAGGAGAAAAUCCACAGGCCGACGGGAGAAGUGUUGUUAAGGAACUCGGCAAAAUGACCCCGUAACUUCGGGAUAAGGGGAGCCUCGCAAGAGGCCGCAGAAAAGAGGCACAAGCAACUGUUUAGCAAAAACAUAGGUCUAUGCGAAACCGUAAGGUGAAGUAUAUGGGCUGACGCCUGCCCGGUGCUGGAAGGUUAAGAGGAGAGGUUAGCGCAAGCGAAGCUUUGAAUUUAAGCCCCAGUAAACGGCGGCCGUAACUAUAACGGUCCUAAGGUAGCGAAAUUCCUUGUCGGGUAAGUUCCGACCCGCACGAAAGGCGUAAUGAUUUGAGCGCUGUCUCGACAAUGCACCCGGUGAAAUUGAAGUACCAGUGAAGAUGCUGGUUACCCGCGCCAGGACGGAAAGACCCCAUGGAGCUUUACUCCAGUUUGGUACUGGGAUUCGGUACUGCAUGUACAGGAUAGGUGGGAGACUGAGAAAUUGGAACGCCAGUUUCAAUGGAGUCACUGUUGGGAUACCACCCCUGCAGUAUUGGGUUUCUAACCAGCCGCUGUGAUCCAGCGGUGGGACAAUGCCAGGCGGGGAGUUUGACUGGGGCGGUCGCCUCCGAAAGGGUAUCGGAGGCGC
rnacentral:rRNA from 1 species